rfam:Musa acuminata subsp. malaccensis Doubled-haploid Pahang (DH-Pahang) genomic chromosome, chr3
AUACCUUUCUCGGCCUUUUGGCUAAGAUCAAGUGUAGUAUCUGUUCUUAUCAGUUUAAUAUCUGAUACGUGGGCCAUCGGUCCACUAUGAUAUUAAAUUAAUUUGUUGUGGGGUAGGGCCCGCUCCAGUAGCUUGCUUCUGGGGCCCUUGAGCGUCGCCCAUGCGUUGCACUGCCGCGUGGGCCCGGCGCACCCCUA